rnacentral:rRNA from 1 species
CGAAAGCCUAUCUCAGUUCGGAUUGGAGGCUGAAACUCGCCUCCAUGAAGUUGGAUUCGCUAGUAAUCGCGCAUCAGCCAUGGCGCGGUGAAUACGUUCCCGGGCCUUGUACACACCGCCCGUCAAGCCAUGGGAGUUGGGGGUGCCUGAAGUUCGUGACCGAAAGGAGCGACCUAGGGCAAAACCGAUGACUGGGGCUAAGUCGUAACAAGGUACC